ACCCUAUGCGCUCCCUCCCCACGCCUUAGGCAGCAACCCCCCGCAUUGAGAGGUGGAGCCGGAUCUUAGCAAUCAAUGCUCCGCAUCCAUCCACACAGUUGGGUGCCGGUGCGGAGUAGACUAUUGCAGCUAAAGGAGGAUUCCCUGGCAGGUGGCGGACAACACAUGCCCGGCUCCUUACGCCUUCCGCUCGGUUGGAUCCGUCUGCGUAGCCGCUCAUUGCUGUUGAUUCCCCUGGGGCUGGAGGUGUAACGACCUCCAGCGACCCCCAUCGACGGCGUGGAAACCCAUCGUUUGGCACCCUCUCGCCAUUGCCCCAACCAAAACCCUCUGUGUACCCUUCCCUGUUGCUUCCCCCGGGCACCUGGCUCCGGCCAGUCGGGGGGAGAAACCAAGCAAAAACCCUUUUCGCAAAACAGACGUCUGAAUGUAAAAAAACAAAACAAAAAGUUAAAACUUUCAACAACGGAUCUCUUGGUUCCCACAUCGAUGAAGAACGCAGCGAAAUGCGAUAAGUAAUGUGAAUUGCAGAAUUCAGUGAAUCAUCGAAUCUUUGAACGCACAUUGCGCCCUCUGGUAUUCCGGAGGGCAUGCCUGUUCGAGCGUCAUAAAUACCGCUCCCCCUCGGAUUGCUUGCGGUCCCUGGGGGGUUCUGGCAAUGUGGAUUCCCCGUGCUUUGAGGGCAUGCGAACGGGCUCCCAGUGCUGAAAGACAUAAUGUUCCCAGCCGAAACCGGUGAUUAAUUUCAUCGGCAGGAUUCGUGGCAGGCAGACUGAGGGCGUCAACCGUGGAGUCAUGAGGAUAGAAACCUCCCCCUUUGCAAGUAACAUUGCUCUGGCAGUUAGAUCUGCAGGCCUGCCGGUCUGGGGAUGGACCUCCCACUCGCAGGCGUCACGGCCACGAUAGCGGGCGUUAAACGGAAUCCGAUCCGCCUUCAUUGGUGGUUGAAGAUCCUUGUGGGCUAGCAACCCCUAAACACAUUUGACCUCGGAUCAGGGUAGGAAUACCAACU
rnacentral:rRNA from 1 species